rnacentral:rRNA from 1 species
GUCGAGCGGACUCUUCGGAGAUCAGCGGCGGACGGGUGAGUAACACGUGGGCUAACCUGCCGUGUAGAGACUGGUGAUCAUACUCCGGGAAACCAGGAGCUAAUACCGGAUACUAUGUCAAACCGCACGGUUUGACAUUCAAAGACAGGUUUACGGCUGUCACUUAUCAGCAGUGUGUGCCCGCGGCGCAUUAGCUAGUUGGUGAGGUAAUGGCUCACCAAGCGCGACGAUGCGUAGCCGACCUGAGAGGGUGAUCGGCACUACAGCUGGCGACUGAGACUACGGCCACAGACUCCUACGGGUAGCGCGAGCAGUAGGGAAUCUUCCGCAAUGGACGUAGAAGUCUGACGGAGCAACGCCGCGUGAGUGAUGAAGGUUUUCGGAUCGUAAAACUCUGUUGUCAGGGAAGAACAAGUGCCGGAGUAACUGCCGGCACCUUGACGGUACCUGACCUACGAAAGCCACGGCUAACUACGUGCCAGCAGCCGCGGUAAUACGUAUGUGGCAAGCGUUGUCCGGAAUUAUUGGGCGUAAAGCGCGCGCAGGCGGUUUCUUAAGUCUGAUGUGAAAGCCCCCGGCUCAACCGGGGAGGGUCAUUGGAAACUGGGAAACUUGAGUGCAGAAUAUGAGAGUGGAAUUCCACGUGUAGGCGGUGAAAUGCGUAUAGAUGUGGAGGAACACCAGUGGCGAAGGCGACUCUCUGGUCUGUAACUGACGCUGAGGCUCGAAAGCG